rnacentral:rRNA from 1 species
AACGAACGCUGGCGGCAUGCCUAACACAUGCAAGUCGAACGAACCCUUCGGGGUUAGUGGCGCACGGGUGCGUAACGCGUGGGGAUCUGCCCAAAGGUUCGGAAUAACUCAGAGAAAUUUGAGCUAAUACCGGAUAAUGUCUUCGGACCAAAGAUUUAUUGCCUUUGGAUGAACCCGCGUAGGAUUAGCUUGUUGGUGGGGUAAAGGCCUACCAAGGCGACGAUCCUUAGCUGGUCUGAGAGGAUGAUCAGCCACACUGGGACUGAGACACGGCCCAGACUCCUACGGGAGGCAGCAGUGGGGAAUAUUGGACAAUGGGCGAAAGCCUGAUCCAGCAAUGCCGCGUGAGUGAUGAAGGCCUUAGGGUUGUAAAGCUCUUUUACCUAGGGAUGAUAAUGACAGUACCUGGAGAAUAAGCUCCGGCUAACUCCGUG